AAGAUUGGGAAAAUAUUUAAGAAGUGCAAAAAGGGGUCUCAGAUGCAAAGCCAAAGGUGCUUCUACCAAGACACACAGGAGGCCACCGAGCUGGGCGAGACAGCUGCCACCUGCCUUUUACUCAGCCUGUGGAUGGAGCCGCUCACACUGAGGGCAGUUCUUCCCCUCUCGGCUAAUGCUCAGUACCUUAGGCGUCCCUUCAGCCAGGCAGGUUGACAGUCACAUUAGUCAUUGUGAAGGCCCAGACUCUUCAGGAGGGAAAGGGUUCUCUGUACAUGGCCCAGUCCGAGCAAAUACAGAACACAUAGACGGCAGUUUAUAAAUGGCAGCUACCACCCACAACCAGCCACAGACUGAGGACUGUGAUAGCCAUAGUUCCCCACCGUUAUAAAUACAACUAUGCGUAGAUCC
rnacentral:lncRNA from 1 species